CAGUCGCCGCGGUAAUACAGAGGGUGCAAGCGUUAAUCGGAAUUACUGGGCGUAAAGCGCGCGUAGGUGGUUUGUUAAGUUGGAUGUUAAAUCCCCGGGCUCAACCUGGGAACUGCAUCCAAAACUGGCAAGCUAGAGUAUGGUAGAGGGUGGUGGAAUUUCCUGUGUAGCGGUGAAAUGCGUAGAUAUAGGAAGGAACACCAGUGGCGAAGGCGACCACCUGGACUGAUACUGACACUGAGGUGCGAAAGCGUGGGGAGCAAACAGGAUUAGAUACCCGCGUAGUCCCUGUCUCUUAUAC
rnacentral:rRNA from 1 species